GACGAACGCUGGCGGCGUGCUUAACACAUGCAAGUCGAACGAAGAGCGACGGAAGCUUGCUUCUAUCAAUCUUAGUGGCGAACGGGUGAGUAACGCGUAAUCAACCUGCCCUUCAGAGGGGGACAACAGUUGGAAACGACUGCUAAUACCGCAUACGAUCUAACCUCGGCAUCGAGGAUAGAUGAAAGGUGGCCUCUACAUGUAAGCUAUCACUGAAGGAGGGGAUUGCGUCUGAUUAGCUAGUUGGAGGGGUAACGGCCCACCGAGGCGAUGAUCAGUAGCCGGUCUGAGAGGAUGAACGGCCACAUUGGGACUGAGACACGGCCCAGACUCCUACGGGAGGCAGCAGUGGGGAAUCUUCCGCAAUGGACGAAAGUCUGACGGAGCAACGCCGCGUGAGUGAUGACGGCCUUCGGGUUGUAAAGCUCUGUUAAUCGGGACGAAAGGCCUUCUUGCGAAUAGUGAGAAGGAUUGACGGUACCGGAAUAGAAAGCCACGGCUAACUACGUG
rnacentral:rRNA from 1 species